AAUAAUGAAUUUAAAUCUAUAAGCAAAAGUAAAAUAUAUAUGGAUAUAUAUCUUAGAAGAAGAUUUGUCAAGAAGAGAAGAAGAAAGAAGAGAAGAUUCCAACAAGAUAUAUAGAAUAUCGAUAUAUAUCUUAGAAGCGAAGAAAUUUGAUUGGAUCUCUGAAAUCACAUUGCAAUAUCUUCAUUAUCAAUCAAGGACCAUCUUGUGUGCUAGAAAUAUGAUGUACAAUGGGAAGAGCUCUUUACUUCCACCUAAAAGCCCCUUUCCUAGUAUGGCCCCAUCAUAUGUCGAUUAUGUCCCUAGUUCUGCUUUCAACCAAAAGGGCAUUCAGAAACCCAGAGAAGGAAA